rnacentral:misc_RNA from 1 species
GGAAAUAGACAUUUGGAGUGCAGGUGUUAUGCUUUAUAUACUACUCAGUGGUGUGCCUCCAUUUUGGGCAGAAACCGAGAAGGGUAUAUUUGAUGCCAUACUUAAAGGGACCAUUGACUUUGAAAGCAAGCCUUGGCCAUCUGUAUCAAGUAGUGCCAAGGACCUUGUACAGAAGAUGCUGACUAAAGAUCCAAAGAAACGGAUUACAGCUGCACAGGUUCUUGAGCAUCCUUGGCUGAAGGAAGGUGGUGUUGCAUCAGACAAACCAUUAGAGGGUGCUGUCCUAUCAAGAAUGAAGCAAUUCAGAGCUAUGAACAAACUCAAGAAACUCGCUUUGAAGGUCAUUGCCGAGAAUCUCUCUGCGGAAGAAAUUCACGGGCUCAAAGCAAUGUUCCACAAUAUUGACACUGAUAAUAGUGGCACUAUAACUUAUGAAGAACUGAAGAGUGGAUUGGCUAAACUUGGGUCAAAGCUCACCGAGGCUGAAGUCAAGCAAUUGAUGGAAGCUGCUGAUGUAGAUGGAAAUGGCUCAAUCGACUACACUGAAUUCAUCACCGCCACCAUGCAUAAGCACAGGCUAGAAAGAGACGAAAAUCUAUAUACUGCAUUUCAGUAUUUCGAUAAAGAUAGCAGUGGGUUCAUUACAAGAGAUGAACUCGAGGCUGCUAUGGAAGAACAUGGAAUAGGUGAUCCAUCCUGUAUUAGGGAAAUCAUAUCUGAAGUGGACACAGACAAUGAUGGAAGAAUC